GGUAGGAUUGGCCGAAGCUAGGCGGUGGGUUGUAGGCCCCGAAGAUAGAGGUUUGAGUCCUCUUCCUAUCA
rnacentral:tRNA from 1 species